AUGCUCAUCGAGCGGUCACAAUGGGAGCUUGCUCCCUGAUGUUAGCGGCGGACGGGUGAGUAACACGUGGGUAACCUGCCUGUAAGACUGGGAUAACUCCGGGAAACCGGGGCUAAUACCGGAUGGUUGUUUGAACCGCAUGGUUCAAACAUAAAAGGUGGCUUCGGCUACCACUUACAGAUGGACCCGCGGCGCAUUAGCUAGUUGGUGAGGUAACGGCUCACCAAGGCAACGAUGCGUAGCCGACCUGAGAGGGUGAUCGGCCACACUGGGACUGAGACACGGCCCAGACUCCUACGGGAGGCAGCAGUAGGGAAUCUUCCGCAAUGGACGAAAGUCUGACGGAGCAACGCCGCGUGAGUGAUGAAGGUUUUCGGAUCGUAAAGCUCUGUUGUUAGGGAAGAACAAGUACCGUUCGAAUAGGGCGGUACCUUGACGGUACCUAACCAGAAAGCCACGGCUAACUACGUGCCAGCAGCCGCGGUAAUACGUAGGUGGCAAGCGUUGUCCGGAAUUAUUGGGCGUAAAGGGCUCGCAGGCGGUUUCUUAAGUCUGAUGUGAAAGCCCCCGGCUCAACCGGGGAGGGUCAUUGGAAACUGGGGAACUUGAGUGCAGAAGAGGAGAGUGGAAUUCCACGUGUAGCGGUGAAAUGCGUAGAGAUGUGGAGGAACACCAGUGGCGAAGGCGACUCUCUGGUCUGUAACUGACGCUGAGGAGCGAAAGCGUGGGGAGCGAACAGGAUUAGAUACCCUGGUAGUCCACGCCGUAAACGAUGAGUGCUAAGUGUUAGGGGGUUUCCGCCCCUUAGUGCUGCAGCUAACGCAUUAAGCACUCCGCCUGGGGAGUACGGUCGCAAGACUGAAACUCAAAGGAAUUGACG
rnacentral:rRNA from 2 species